rnacentral:rRNA from 1 species
GCCAACGACCAUACCACGUAGGAACUACUGGUUCUCGUUCGAUCACCAAAGUCAAGCUACGUCGGGCACGGUUAGUACUUGGAUGGGUGACCGCUUGGGAACACCGUGUGUUGUUGGUA